UUUCGCAAUGCCCGAAAGGGUGACGAAGCGACGCCGCGUGAGUGAGGAAGGCCUUCGGGUUGUAAAGCUCUGUCAGCUUGGAUGAAUACAAGAGAGUUAAUAACUUUUUUGUUUGACGGUACAAGCAGAGGAAGCCACGGCUAACUCCGUGCCAGCAGCCGCGGUAAUACGGAGGUGGCAAGCGUUGUUCGGAUUUACUGGGUGUAAAGGUCAUGUAGGUGUCUUAUUAAGUCGGGUGUGAAAUCCCUUGGCUCAACCAAGGAACUGCAUUCGAUACUGGUAAGAUUGAGUACGAGAGAGGUAAGCGGAAUUCCAGAAGUAAGGGUGAAAUCUGUAGAUAUCUGGAAGAACACCAUUAGCGAAGGCGGCUUACUGGCUCGAUACUGACACUGAAAUGAGAAAGCUAGGGUAGCGAACAGGAUUAGAUACCCUGGUAGUCCUAGCUGUAAACGAUGGGCACUAAGUAGAGGGGUUUU
rnacentral:rRNA from 1 species